rnacentral:rRNA from 1 species
GGGCUAAGGGGGCUAGCGGAUGGAAGUGCUAGUCUAAGGUCGUAGGAGGUUAUACAGGCAAAUCCGUAUAACAAUACUCCGAGAACUGAAAGGCUUUUUGAAGUCUUCGGAUGGAUAGAAGAACCCCUGAUGCCGUCGAGCCAAGAAAAGUUUCUAAGUUUAGCUAAUGUUGCCCGUACCGUAAACCGACACAGGUGGGUGGGAUGAGUAUUCUAAGGCGCGUGGAAGAACUCUCUUUAAGGAACUCUGCAAAAUAGCACCGUAUCUUCGGUAUAAGGUGUGGUUAGCUUUGUAUUAGGAUUUACUCCGAAAGCAAGGAAACUUACAACAAAGAGUCCCUCCCGACUGUUUACCAAAAACACAGCACUCUGCUAACUCGUAAGAGGAUGUAUAGGGUGUGACGCCUGCCCGGUGCUCGAAGGUUAAUUGAUGGGGUUAGCAUUAGCGAAGCUCUUGAUCGAAGCCCGAGUAAACGGCGGCCGUAACUAUAACGGUCCUAAGGUAGCGAAAUUCCUUGUCGGUUAAAUACCGACCUGCAUGAAUGGCGUAACGAGAUGGGAGCUGUCUCAAAGAGGGAUCCAGUGAAAUUGUAGUGGAGGUGAAAAUUCCUCCUACCCGCGGCAAGACGGAAAGACCCCGUGGACCUUUACUACAGCUUGACACUGCUACUUGGAUAAGAAUGUGCAGGAUAGGUGGGAGGCUUUGAGUAUAUGACGCCAGUUGUAUAUGAGCCAUUGUUGAGAUACCACUCUUUCUUAUUUGGGUAGCUAACCAGCUUGAGUUAUCCUCAAGUGGGACAAUGUCUGGUGGGUAGUUUGACUGGGGCGGUCGCCUCCCAAAUAAUAACGGAGGCUUACAAAGGUUGGCUCAGAACGGUUGGAAAUCGUUCGUAGAGUAUAAAGGUAUAAGCCAGCUUAACUGCAAGACAUACAAGUCAAGCAGAGACGAAAGUCGGUCUUAGUGAUCCGGUGGUUCUGUGUGGAAGGGCCAUCGCUCAAAGGAUAAAAGGUACCCCGGGGAUAACAGGCUGAUCUCCCCCAAGAGCUCACAUCGACGGGGAGGUUUGGCACCUCGAUGUCGGCUCAUCGCAUCCUGGGGCUGGAGCAGGUCCCAAGGGUAUGGCUGUUCGCCAUUUAAAGCGGUACGCGAGCUGGGUUCAGAACGUCGUGAGACAGUUCGGUCCCUAUCUGCCGUGGGCGUAAGAAGAUUGAAGAGAUUUGACCCUAGUACGAGAGGACCGGGUUGAACAAACCACUGGUGUAGCUGUUGUUCUGCCAAGAGCAUCGCAGCGUAGCUAAGUUUGGAAAGGAUAAACGCUGAAAGCAUCUAAGCGUGAAGCCAACUCUAAGAUGAAUCUUCUCUAAGCUCUCUAGAAGACUACUAGUUUGAUAGGCUGGGUGUGUAAUGGAUGAAAGUCCUUUAGCUGACCAGUACUAAUAGAGCGUUUGGCUUAUCUUU